UGCCCCCGCGUGGGCCAGGUUCUAAGGAGGAGGGUAUAUAACGGGGGGCUUGGCCUGUGGGCUAUAAAGCCUGGAGCUAGGCCAAAUGGAUUACAGAGUGAGCUCCAGCUGAGGGGAAACCAGGGGAAACCGCAACAAAGGUACAGGAGCAGGCCUAGCUGUUCGGUACAGGGCCUUGGGACAGAACCUAGAAUCCAGGGUAGGACUGGUUCUCCCAUGGUCUCUAAGGAAGGGGAUGUACAGGGCCAUAGAAAGGGCUACCAAGGCCAGCAAGGGCAGGCCGAGCCAAAGUCAGGCUGAGGAAAAGCCCCCAAGGGACAGAGGAUCUUGUUUCAGUUAAAGACAUUUUUUGACUUUUCGUUUGGGAUCAGCGUGACCCAGGAAGGAGUGGGACUAAAAGAUGGUCGCCUGGUCGAAGGGCUGAGUUCCCAGCCAAAAACCUGCUGGCGGGCGUGCUAGCCCAAGAAAUCUGUGACCCCAGGCCUUGAAGGAAGGGGCACCUAUCGGCUCUGAGCAAGGCCUGCCCAGAGAACAUGGAUGACGAGCUCUCGAUCCUGCUAACAGCACCCCCCAGCACAGACAAACUCCAGCACAUCUUGGAGGGUGGGAAACCGAGACACAGUUGGGACCUGUCUACACUACAGGUCUGUCGUGCGUUUGUAAUCUGCUGACCCCCACAUGUUGUUCAGAGCCUAUGGACAACACAGCUCCUAAAG